UGGGUGGCGAGUGGCGAACGGGUGAGUAACAUAUCGGAACGUACCGAGUAAUGGGGGAUAACUAAUCGAAAGAUUAGCUAAUACCGCAUAUUCUCUGAGGAGGAAAGCAGGGGACCUUCGGGCCUUGCGUUAUUCGAGCGGCCGAUAUCUGAUUAGCUAGUUGGUGGGGUAAAGGCCUACCAAGGCGACGAUCAGUAGCGGGUCUGAGAGGAUGAUCCGCCACACUGGGACUGAGACACGGCCCAGACUCC
rnacentral:rRNA from 1 species